UACGGAGGGUGCAAGCGUUAUCCGGAUUCACUGGGUUUAAAGGGUGCGUAGGCGGGCAGGUAAGUCCGUGGUGAAAUCUCCAAGCUUAACUUGGAAACUGCCGUUGAUACUAUCUGUCUUGAAUAUUGUGGAGGUGAGCGGAAUAUGUCAUGUAGCGGUGAAAUGCUUAGAUAUGACAUAGAACACCAAUUGCGAAGGCAGCUCACUACUCAAUCAUUGACUCUGAGGCACGAAAGCGUGGGGAUCAAACAGG
rnacentral:rRNA from 1 species